rnacentral:snoRNA from 1 species
AGACCAUGAUGAAGGUAACACCUAAGCAGAUCCUUGUAUCUCUCCCAAGCUUCGUACAACGAUUUUGCAUCUAGUUGCAUGAAAGAUGUGAUAUCAUUCCUCAUUUU